AUAUAUUGUCGUGAACUAAGUCAAGUUUAUUUAACAGAAAACUCCAAGCCAAUAUAAUGCGAAACCCCGCGAAUAUCAUGUAGAAUACUUCUAUACAAAUUAAAUGUUGAUUAUCUUUGGUUUAAGACACGAAAAAAAGGAAGAAGAACCAAGUACACUUCGAAGAUACAUAUAUGGGAUAUUAAUCAACAAUUCACAACUCGACUGCCAAAAGGUUACAAAACCAAUUGACUUUGACGUACGAAGGCGGAUAUGACAAAGGCGGAUCCGAACGACACGACGGCGUUGCCUAAAAACAAGGUCAGGAUGAGAGGAUUGCUUAGGUGAACAGUG